UUUGUAGCAAUACCGAUGAAUUCUAGUGGCGAACGGGUGCGUAACACGUGAGCAAUCUGCCGGGAAGUGGGGGAUAACUCGCCGAAAGGCGAAUUAAUACCGCAUGUGGCCAAGGAAGACAUCUUCCUGACGCCAAAGCCGGGGCAACCUGGCGCUUCUCGAGGGGCUCGCGGCCUAUCAGCUUGUUGGUGAGGUAACGGCUCACCAAGGCUAUGACGGGUAGCUGGUCUGAGAGGACGACCAGCCACACUGGAACUGAGACACGGUCCAGACACCUACGGGUGGCAGCAGUCGAGAAUUUUUCACAAUGGGGGAAACCCUGAUGGAGCGACGCCGCGUGGAGGAUGAAGGUCUUCGGAUUGUAAACUCCUGUCAAAUGGGAACAAGAAAGUGAUAGUACCAUUAGAGGAAGAGACGGCUAACUCUGUGCCAGCAGCCGCGGUAAUACAGAGGUCUCAAGCGUUGUUCGGAUUCAUUGGGCGUAAAGGGUGCGCAGGCUGUGUGGUAAGUCGGGUGUGAAAUUUAGAGGCUCAACCUCUAAACUGCACCUGAUACUGCCAUGCUAGAGGACUGUAGAGGAGAUUGGAAUUCACGGUGUAGCAGUGAAAUGCGUAGAUAUCGUGAGGAAGACCAGUGGCGAAGGCGAAUGCCUGGGCAGUUCCUGACACUGAGGCACGAAGGCCAGGGGAGCAAACGGGAUUAGAUACCCCGGUAGUCCUGGCAGUAAACGGUGCUCAUUAGAUGUAGGCGGAUUCGACCCCGCCUGUGUCGAACCUAACGGAUUAAAUGAGCCGCCUGGGAAGUACGGUCGCAAGAUUAAAACUCAAAGAAAUUGACGGGGGCCCGCACAAGCGGUGGAGUAUGUGGCUUAAUUCGAUGCAACGCGAAGAACCUUACCUGGCCUUGACAUGCUGAGUUCAGGCGUGGAAACACGCUGGCCCGCAAGGGCGAUCUGCACAGGUGCUGCAUGGCUGUCGUCAGCUCGUGUCGUGAGAUGUUGGGUUAAGUCCCGCAACGAGCGCAACCCUCGUGACUAGUUAAUCCCGGGCAACCGGAUUCUGGUCAGACUGCCCUGUGAAACGGGGAGGAAGGUGGGGACGACGUCAAGUCCGUAUGGCCCUUACGGCCAGGGCUGCACACGUACUACAAUGCCCAAUACAGAGGGACGCAAGACCGCAAGGUGGAGCUAAUCCCGUAAAGUUGGGCCCAGUUCGGAUUGGAGGCUGCAACUCGCCUCCAUGAAGUUGGAAUCGCUAGUAAUGGCGCAUCAGCUACGGCGCCGUGAAUACGUUCCCGGGCCUUGUACACACCGCCCGUCACAUCAUGAAAGCCGGUCUUACCCAAAGUCGCCUCCGGGUGCCUAAGGUAAGGCUGGUGAUUGGGAUGAAGUCGUAACAAGGUAGCCGUAGGGGAACCUGCGGCUGGAUUACCUCCUUUCUAAGGAGUA
rnacentral:rRNA from 1 species